UGUGCCGCCGGACGGUGGCGACCGCGAGACGUUGGGGAGCGUCGGUGACCGGCCGCCUCCGGAAUGCCGGACCGCAGCCCAGGGACUGCGACCGUGCGCUCGGCGAAGGAG
rnacentral:sRNA from 12 species